CGGCGUGGUUAAGACAUGCAAGUCGCACGGAGGUAGCAAUACCUUAGUGGCGAACGGGUGAGUAAUGUAUCGCUAACGUACCCUUUAGUCUGGGAUAGCCGGGGGAAACCCCGGGUAAUACCAGUUGACAUUCCCUUUUCGCAUGGAGAGGGACUCAAAGGAGCAAUCCGCUGAAGGAGCGGGCGAUAUCGUAUCAGCUAGUUGGUGAGGUAACGGCUCACCAAGGCGACGACGCGUAGCCGGACUGAGAGGUCGGUCGGCCGCAUUGGGACUGAGACACUGCCCAGACUCCUACGGGGGGCUGCAGUAACGAAUCAACGGCAAUGCACGCAAGUGUGACGGAGCGACGCCGCGUGUAGGCGAAGUCCUUCGGGAUGUAAACCACUGUCAGGGGUACCAAGU
rnacentral:rRNA from 1 species